rnacentral:lncRNA from 1 species
UCUUCAAUUGAAAAACCAAAGAGACGCAGCUCUGAUACCACCUGAUGAAGCAGACAAAUAGGUUGAACGGUCGAUCAAAGAACUUUUAGGGUUCUUAGAGACCUGAUCUUGGAUCAAUCAAGAGUUUCUUUCGAUAGCUUUUUAAAACCAACUUCCUGCUUGAUGAAUUUAAUCAAAUCGAACAAGGUAUAAAACAAAACAAGUAGUUUAUUAUUUAUCAAAGUUUGAAUACAAUUUUAGGCUCGAAUGUUUAUUAUAAUAAAUCCUUUAAAUCUAAAAAACCUUAAUCUUAAUUAAAAUAGAAAAACGAAUGAAAUAUGGAAAAUACAAAUAAAAGGUAACUAUCUUAAUUUAUUCCAAAUAAUAAAAUAAAUAAUAAGAUAUUUGGAUAUAUUCUAUAUACUUAUCUGCAUCAUUACUACAUGGCUCUGAUACCAAACUGCAUCAUUACUACCUGGCUC